CAGCUAGCUCUGUCACCGCCUACUCGAGAAUAUGCAGCGCGCAUUUCAAAGAGGAGGAUUACCACUCAGGGGAUGCUAAAAUGGUCUCACUUGGAUUAAAGAGUGAGAGGAGUGCUAAAUUACUUCCUACCGCCGUGCCGUCUGUGAACGCAAACCUCUCUGCUUGCCCCGUCCCGAGGUCGAGAGACACCGUCUGCCGCAAGCGAGAAAUUGCCACGGUAAGCAUCAUGCUAACGUUAAUGUUUACAAGCUGCGUGUUAGCUAGCUCUGUGUGUAUUUUGUAUACCGUGUUCCCUUUGACACAGCCUCCACUAACUUACAAGCACGAUCACUCUGACAUUAGAAGAGCAUAUUUCGUGAUUCACGAAUAAAAAUUAGAAUAAUAACAAAAUUGCCCUGAAGUAAAAGUCCAUAUCAUCAUGAAAGCUUUAUGGCUGUGCCAUAGGUUAUUGUUUCCACUGGGAAACUAACGUUAGUUGUAGCACACACGUCCCAUUUUAUUGAUGGACUUAUGAAAUGACUGGGAAUAUUUACUUAUCUUCUUGGAAUUUCAAAGAUGAUAAGUAAAUAAUUCUCAGUACUUCCAAGUUGAAAAUAAAUGAUUAAAUGUUUCCAUGUACUCCUGCAAUGUGCUUGUACACCCAAUGUGCUUGCGAAUCACUGUUCUAAGUAUUCAUAGUAUACCCACCUCUUAUUUCACCACUACACUCAUUUGCAUUUUGCUGACCCUUUUUCAUAUUUGUUUUCGCAAGAUGUUGACAGACGCCUCACAGCAGGAGACUGUGGACAGUGUAGACACUGUGGAGAGUGUCGAUACUGGGGAUCAGCCCUUGCCCUCCUCCACUUCUGACGCUGGGACACAGUGUUCUUUGAAGCCCCCGAUGGUCUCACGCUGUGCAGGUUAACCUGAAGCCCAAGAUGGUCAGCGUGGGCACACAGACAUCAUUCGGCACACAAACCUCCACUCCCCUUGCUAGUCCUGAACAGACAGAUGAAGAUGAUGAUAAUGCCUCUGUCAUCAGUGACUUAUCGUGGGUGCCCGAAGAGCCGAUGCAUGAGGAAGACUUGUUUGAUGAGGAGCCACCUUACACGUGUGACCCCCAUCACAAUGGCAUUGACAAAUUCAUUGUUUGCCAAGAGGAGCUGAUGGGCCUUUUUGUCAUCUGUCCGGCCUGUUGUGAGAGGUCAGAUAGUAGCAUCGUGCAGCAGGAAGGAACUUUUCUUAAGAUCAAGCAGGUCUGUGCAUCAUGUGGCUACCACCGUUUCUGGCAAAACCAGCCAAUGCUCCACAGGAACAUGCCGACCUGCAACCUCCUGUUAAGCGGGGCCAUUCAUUUCACUGGAUGUUUGGCCACCCAGACAUUAAGAAUGUUGACUCUGUUUGGCCUGCAGUGCAUCAGUGCGAGCAGUUACUUUCGCCAUCAGCGCCGCUACACCAUCCCUGUAAUCGUUCAGGCCUGGCAAAACGAUCAAGCGAAGAAUUUUAGUGACCUCACGGGCAAUGGAUGGCGGGCUAGUUCUUGCUGGUGACUGCAGGUCAGAUUCUCCUGGGCACUGCGCGAAGUAUGGAUCCUACUCUCUGAUCGAGGACAGAGUGAACAAGGUGGUGGAUGUUCAGCUUGUUCAGAGCUCAGAGGUCCCCAACAGCUCAUGGUGUGAGCUUGAAGGGCUCAAGCGCAGUGUUGGCCUGCUGAGGGAAAGGACCUGCAUUUAGCAACGCUGAUCACGGACCGUCAUCGCCAGGUUGCCAAAUGGGUAAGAGAGGAGCUGAGCCCUGAAGGGACACGGCAUUAUUUUGAUGUGUGGCACAUUGCCAAAAGUCUGGGGAAGGCAUUGGAUGCAGCUUCAAAAGAGUGUGACCAACUACAGCUGUGGAGGCCUGCUAUAGUGAAUCACCUCUAUUGGACUGCAGCCUCAACCCCAGACGGCAACCCAGCAGUCAUGGAGGCUAAAUGGAAAAGUUUAGUCAACCACAUCCAGGACAUCCAUGACCAUGACACCCCUGCUUUCUCCAGUUGUGCCCAUGGCCCUCUAGACGGGGAUCAGCGCAACAAAGAGUGGCUGGACCCAGGCUCAUUGGCAGCAGUAAAGUUGGAGAACAUAAUCACGAGGACUGCCUUACUGAAAGAUGUUCGACAGCUGUCUCCACAGCAUCAGACAUUCUCCCUUGAGGCUUACCACUCCCUCAUCUUGCACUUCGCACCCAAGCACACAGGGUUUUCAUACGUUGGGAUGUACAGCAGCACGGAAAAGUGAUGGGACGGAGAAGUACUGUGUGCGGUAUCCAGCUUCAGAAAAGGUGCCCAUGUGGUGCGUCCCAUCAAAGAGGCAGCCUCAUACGGUUAUGCAACAUCAUUGAUGAAGGCCCUUCAGGAAAGCUACACCCAUUCACCUGCAGCUCUUCGAGAGACAAGUCCAAUGAUUUAGUUGUAAGUAUUUAUUUUAGUUGUUAUUUAUCUUCUUUCCUUCUGUCCCUGUCAUCUCAUUUGGUGGUGGUUUCCUGUAUUCUGCAUGUUUUGUGUGUUGUUGAUUUGGUUUUACUUUGCACUAAAUCAUUACUUUUUUUCGUCUUUGUAAGUGGCAUUAAUUGUCGCUGUACCCCAUUCAAGGGGUCCUGCAUGCUGCAUGUCUGCUCCUCUGUCUGUUAUUUGCAUGAAAUUUGUUUUAUGUAAUUCAAAAUAAUUUACCAAUCAUUUUACCUGUGCCUUGUCAACCUCUGUGUGCGGUGUUGUCUGGGUUCACUGUGUGUCAGCUUGAUAUGCUUUUGCAUGUAUCACUGCAUAUGCAUUCAUGAAAGAGUGUGAGUGUGUGUGAGUGACUGUGUGUGACUGUGUGUGAGUAAGUGAGUGUGAGUGAGUGCGAGAACCAUCAGUUGACCCUCAGGUAAGACCACACUUUUGCAGGCAAAAGAAACAAUGUGCAAAGGUUUCAGGUCUAGCCCUUCAUCAGUGGGCUUUUUUUAUAUAGAUUUGUUUACUUGCAACCUGUGUCUUUGUUCAGUAAUCCUUGUCCUUGUUCAGUAAAUGUUUAGUAACCCUUACAAGCAAUGCCAAUAAACUGUUUUUUCUUAUUAAAAUUCAUGUGUUCUGUGUACUUUAUAACAUUUUAAGGGCAAUUGGGCGAUCACAACAGAAUAAACAAUUAUUUUUAUUCAUUCUCAUCCAAACGAGGCCAUUGAAAGCCCUGAUAGGUUUGGUCACCACUUUGGAAGUUUUGUCUGAUGGUUGAAACCACACAAGAGGGUAGAGGCUUCCUUAUACUCCUCCCUAAAACUCCAUAAGCCCAGCGUAUAGCCUGCCUGUACGCAGUGUACCGGUAUUGCCUAGGAAUAAGUAGGAAAGAUUCUUAAGUUUUAAACUCUGUAAGUAGGUUGGAAACGUCAUUUGAAGCCUGUCUCUUAUGCAUGUUUGUGCAUGCAACACAUCUCCUGUCACCUAUUGCUGUUGUUCAAAGGACUCAGUGUAAAAACAUUGGUAAAGUAAACAUAAACCAUGAACAUACUCGUGCGUGCUGGCUUGAAGGGGACCAUGAUCCUGUCUGAAGUGUGAAUAUGCUAUUUGUAGCACAAACGGAUUCAGGCAGCAUGCCUCAAAUCCAGGAUGCUGCGUUAGGCACGUUACAUCUGCUGGCCGCGGGGUGAGAUCCUCGACCAGCGACCAAAACGCGCUCACCUCCCUACA